rnacentral:rRNA from 1 species
GAUGAACGCUGGCGGCGUGCCUAAUACAUGCAAGUCGAGCGAACGGACGAGAAGCUUGCUUUUCUGAUGUUAGCGGCGGACGGGUGAGUAACACGUGGAUAACCUACCUAUAAGACUGGGAUAACUUCGGGAAACCGGAGCUAAUACCGGAUAAUAUUUUGAACCGCAUGGUUCAAAAGUGAAAGGCGGUCUUGCUGUCACUUAUAGAUGGAUCCGCGCUGCAUUAGCUAGUUGGUAAGGUAACGGCUUACCAAGGCAACGAUGCAUAGCCGACCUGAGAGGGUGAUCGGCCACACUGGAACUGAGACACGGUCCAGACUCCUACGGGAGGCAGCAGUAGGGAAUCUUCCGCAAUGGGCGAAAGCCUGACGGAGCAACGCCGCGUGAGUGAUGAAGGUCUUCGGAUCGUAAAACUCUGUUAUUAGGGAAGAACAUAUGUGUAAGUAACUGUGCACAUCUUGACGGUACCUAAUCAGAAAGCCACGGCUAACUACGCG